UACGGAGGGUGCGAGCGUUGUCCGGAAUCACUGGGCGUAAAGGGCGCGUAGGCGGCGCGGGGAGUCAACGGUGAAAGCUCGGCGCUCAACGCCGAGUCGGCCGUCGAUACUCCCGUGCUCGAGCACUGUAGAGGCAGGUGGAAUUCCGGGUGUAGCGGUGGAAUGCGUAGAGAUCCGGAAGAACACUGGUGGCGAAGGCGGCAUCCUGGGUCAACACUGACGCUGAUGAGCGAAAGCCAGGGGAGCAAACGGG
rnacentral:rRNA from 1 species